rnacentral:misc_RNA from 1 species
AACGUUUGACAAUGGAUCACUUGGCUCUCGCAUCGAUGAAGAACGCAGCGAAAUGCGAUACGUAAUGUGAAUUGCAGAAUUCAGUGAAUCAUCGAAUCUUUGAACGCACCUUGCGCCCCUUGGCAUUCCGAGGGGCACACCCGUUUGAGUGUCGUGAAAUUCUCAAAACCUUUUGCUUUGCCGGAAAGGAUCUUGGACUUGGAUGCCAUGUGCUGGUUUCACCUCGAAGCGAGCGCCUCCCAAAUGGAUUAGUGGGGUCUGCUUUGCCGAUCCUUGACGUGAUAAGAUGCUUCUACGUCUCGGGUUUUGGCACUGUGCCUCUGCUUCUAACCGUCUCAUUGACAACGAUGGUGUUCCGGUCACCGCCGAUUCGUCGGUGGGAGGCUUGACCCACAAAACGACCUUGACCUCAAAUCGGGUGAGACUACCCGCUGAACUUAAGCAUAUCAAUAGCGGAGGCU